CAUAGCUCAGUAGGUAGAGCAACUGACUGUUAAUCAGAGUGUCGCAGGUUCGAAUCCUGCUGU
rnacentral:tRNA from 1 species